ACAACGCUUUUUGUGUUGCAAAUAGCAUCAUCAAAGAUAACAAAUCGUCAAAAUCACAUUCCAUGAAGCCAUUAAUCUAAAUGGAUAGUGUAUUAGCAACUCAAACCGAUGAAAAGCUAGCAUCCGACGUUUGCCGUGGCUGUGGAGGCAAAAAUGCAGUAAAACCGCUAUCCGUGUAUGGAAACAUCUUUAAAUGGUGCACCUCUAUAGAUGUUUCCUGCUCCGAUGGGCUUCCGUCAAACAUAUGCAAUCGAUGCUUGCAGAUGCUAUCAACAUCGUACGAAUUCAAAAUCCUAUGCACUCGCACGGAUCGAAGUUUACGAGCGAACACAAAUGACGGGGCGCAGUUUGAGAAUUUCCCUACACUCGAAAACAUUUCAUCGGAUGAGUAUGAACAAUCGGAGCUGGUGUACGAGGUGCAAACCGAGGAAGUCGUGGAAGAAAUGAUUUUGACUGAUAAAGAGUCUUUUGAUUAUGUGUAUACAAAUGUAGAAGAAAUUGAGGAGUCCAUCGCCAAGAAGCCAGAAGGUACCACACAGAACAAGGUCUGUGAUUUUGAACUUUCGUCGGAUGAAGGCUAUGUACUGCCCGUAGCUGAGAAAUCUAAUGAAAUAUCGUCAUUGGAUGGCCGGGAGUCUCAAGACACGGAAGAGCAGGAAAAAAGUGAAGAACUUGCUUUUAGUGACACGGUAGAAUAUCUCGAGGACACGUGCAAAGCAAUUAGCCCAACGUAUGAAAAGACCGGAACCUGCAGCAAAAUUGUAUCCGUUAUAGGGUUGAAGCAUGAGCGCAAAUGUACAAAAACCCGAUCCGUGCGGCAUCGUUGCCCAGACUGUGGAAAAGAGUUUGCCUCCAAAACAAACAUGUAUCGGCACCAGCAUGCACACAGAGGUUCAAAGCCCUACAAAUGUGAUAUCUGCAAAAAAUGUUUUACCCAAAGUGGGACACUUAAAACACAUAAGUACACACAUUUCAACAUAAAACCAUUCGUGUGCAACGUGUGUGGGCAACGAUUUACACAAAGCAAAUCUGUGAAACUUCAUCUUCGGCGACAUACGGGAGAAAAGCCAUACGUAUGUGAUAUUUGCAAUGCAGCGUUCCGGCAAAAGAAUGGACUGCAACGGCACAUGAAAGUGCAUGGAGAAAACACAUGAACAGUGAGCAGUUAAUAACCGGUAUAGCAGAUGUUCCACUCGCCAGCUGUAUUGUUCUAUUUGAAACAGUACGAUAUUUGAGAAAAGGCAAGUUAUUCUGAAAAUGCGAAAUCUCUGUUUCCACCAAAUUUACUCCAAAUUGCACAUUUUGUGGAAAAACUCACAAGCGAAACAGAGAAACUGGAGCAACCAACCCAAUAAUGUAGCCGCAUCUGAAAGCAACAAAAUUGCCCACCUUGUUUUGUUUACGUUCUCGACAAAGGCAGCGAAAGCCUACAAGUGUUUCGUGGAUUCAUCCAAAUUGUUCGUGAUGGGAUUG